rnacentral:rRNA from 1 species
CUGCUGCCUUCCGUAGGAGUUUGGGCCGUGUCUCAGUCCCAAUGUGGCCGUCCACCCUCUCAGGCCGGCUACUGAUCGCUGCCUUGGUGGGCCGUUACCCCGCCAACUAGCUAAUCAGACGCGGAUCCAUCUUAUACCACCGGAGUUUUUCACACUGCCCCAUGCGGAGCCGUGCGCUUAUGCGGUAUUAGCACCUAUUUCUAAGUGUUAUCCCCCGGUAUACGGCAGGUUAUCCACGCGUUACUCACCCGUCCGCCA